AUUGGAAAAAAAAAAGCUGAAAUUAGUAAUGGUCACAAUACUCACAAACUCACAACUUUCCGUCCAACCAAAGAGAUUCAUACAAUUUUACAAACCCUAACUUUCUCUCUCUAGUUUCCAUCCUCCACCUCUUCACCCCGUACUCCCUGUCAAAUCGGCGCGCGACCUCCAAUGGCGGCGGCAAACGUUCUCCUGAAGCAGAUCUAUGAAACAUACGGAGUUGAAAGCAAAGAAGCAGGCUGGCAAAAUGUGCAGGACCCGUUUUGGACCCGAAUCCAGACCCGGAUCCGUUGGAUCCGUCGGAUAUGAAUCUGGGUCUUCAUUAUCCAGACCCGACGGAUCCGGGACGGAUCUGGAUCUAAGGUUGGAAAACGGAUCUGGAUCCGGGUCCAUCCAGACCCGGUCCAGAUCCGACCCGUUGCCAUCCCUAGUGUUUGGGAUGAAGUUUCUUGUAAUGCCGGUGCAGGAUGGUGUUUUGUGGAUUCUCACUCCUUUCAGAUUUUGGGGGGUGGUGCUGGGGUGGUGCUAGGGCUGGUAUGGCUUCUUCGGCACUUCAUUCUGAAUUGCUUGCGUGUCUUUGGGGUCUUAGGCAGGCCCUUCAGCGAAAUUUCUUGAGUAUCGUUUCGUUUACUGAUUGUUCCAUUAUUCCUCGGCUUCUUACGGGUCAGGUUUCUGCAGACAUUUCGAUUAUUUGGUUGGUUCAGGAUAUCCGGGGGAUUUUGUCCUCCUUUCAGACUUCACAUGUUCGUAAGGUGUCAAGGUCUAUGGUUGAUGAUGCUCAUUUGUUGGCCGGAGCUGCCAGGCUUAGGGAGUUACUUUAUUUUAUGUUUUAGUUUGUUGUUUUUUUGUUCCCUUUGUCCCAAAAAAAAAAAAAAAAAAAAACCCUUCAAGUGACACAUCAUAUUCUGAAUGUAUUUGUAGCUUUGAAAGCAUUGGCACAUUUUGGGUUUCAAACUGUACAUAAUUUCUUAGGCU